GACGUAGGAGGCGAGCGUUGUCCGGAUUCAUUGGGCGUAAAGAGCACGCAGGCGGUUUGGCAAGUCGGAUGUGAAAACCCGAAGCUCAACUUCGGGCCUGCAUCCGAAACUGCCCGACUAGAGGUAGGUAGGGGAGAUCGGAAUUCCUGGUGUAGCGGUGAAAUGCGCAGAUAUCAGGAGGAACACCGGUGGCGAAGGCGGGUCUCUGGACAGUUCCUGACACUGAGACACGAAGGCCAGGGGAGCAAACGGG
rnacentral:rRNA from 1 species